rnacentral:tRNA from 1 species
GCCAUCGUGGUGUACUGGUCAGCACACUCGACGCUUAACCAAGAGGGCCGUGGUUCAAUUCCUGGCGAAGGCG